rnacentral:rRNA from 1 species
AUUGAACGCUGGCGGCAGGCCUAACACAUGCAAGUCGGACGGUAGCACAGAGAGCUUGCUCUUGGGUGACGAGUGGCGGACGGGUGAGUAAUGUCUGGGGAUCUGCCCGAUAGAGGGGGAUAACCACUGGAAACGGUGGCUAAUACCGCAUAACGUCGCAAGACCAAAGAGGGGGACCUUCGGGCCUCUCACUAUCGGAUGAACCCAGAUGGGAUUAGCUAGUAGGCGGGGUAAUGGCCCACCUAGGCGACGAUCCCUAGCGGGUCUGAGAGGAUGACCAGCCACACUGGAACUGAGACACGGUCCAGACUCCUACGGGAGGCAGCGGUGGGGAAUAUUGCACAAUGGGCGCAAGCCUGAUGCAGCCAUGCCGCGUGUAUGAAGAAGGCCUUCGGGUUGUAAAGUACUUUCAGCGGGGAGGAAGGCGGUGAGGUUAAUAACCUUGCCGAUUGACGUUACCCGCAGAAGAAGCACCGGCUAACUCCGUGCCAGCAGCCGCAGUAA